rnacentral:rRNA from 1 species
GUGGGGAAUAUUGGACAAUGGGCGAAAGCCUGAUCCAGCCAUGCCGCGUGUGUGAAGAAGGUCUUCGGAUUGUAAAGCACUUUAAGUUGGGAGGAAGGGCAGUAAGUUAAUACCUUGCUGUUUUGACGUUACCGACAGAAUAAGCACCGGCUAACUUCGUGCCAGCAGCCGCGGUAAUACGAAGGGUGCAAGCGUUAAUCGGAAUUACUGGGCGUAAAGCGCGCGUAGGUGGUUUUGUAAGUUGGAAGUGAAAUCCCCGGGCUCAACCUGGGAACUGCUUUCAAAACUGCUGAGCUAGAGUACGGUAGAGGGUGGUGGAAUUUCCUGUGUAGCGGUGAAAUGCGUAGAUAUAGGAAGGAACACCAGUGGCGAAGGCGACCACCUGGACUGAUACUGACACUGAGGUGCGAAAGCGUGGGGAGCAAACAGGAUUAGAAACCCCGGUAGUCC